UACGAAGGGGCUAGCGUUGCUCGGAAUCACUGGGCGUAAAGGGUGCGUAGGCGGGUUUUAAGUCAGGGUGAAUCCUGGAGCUCAACUCCAGAACUGCCUUUGAUACUGAAGAUCUUGAGUCCGGGAGAGGUGAGUGGAACUGCGAGUGUAGAGGUGAAAUUCGUAGAUAUUCGCAAGAACACCAGUGGCGAAGGCGGCUCACUGGCCCGGUACUGACGCUGAGGCA
rnacentral:rRNA from 1 species